UGAGGUCUAGCUCAGUGGUAGAGCGCUUGCCUAGCAUGUGUGAGGUACUGGGUUCGAUUCUCAGCACCACAU
rnacentral:tRNA from 1 species